rnacentral:rRNA from 1 species
GAUGAACGCUGGCGGCGUGCCUAAUACAUGCAAGUCGAGCGAACAGAUGAGGAGCUUGCUCCUCUGACGUUAGCGGCGGACGUGUGAGUAACACGUGGAUAACCUACCUAUAAGACUGGGAUAACUUCGGGAAACCGGAGCUAAUACCGGAUAAUAUAUUGAACCGCAUGGUUCAAUAGUGAAAGACGGUUUUGCUGUCACUUAUAGAUGGAUCCGCGCCGCAUUAGCUAGUUGGUAAGGUAACGGCUUACCAAGGCAACUAUGCGUAGCCGACCUGAGAGGGUGAUCGGCGACACUGGAGAUGAGACAAGGUCAAGACUCCUGCGGGAGGCAGCAGUAGGGAAUCUACCGCAAUGGGCGAAAGCCUGACGGAGCAACGCAGCGUGAGUGAUGACGGUCUUAGGAUCGUAAAACUCUGUUAUUAGGGAAGAACAAAUGUGUAAGUAACUAUGCACGUCUUGACGGUACCUAAUCAGAAGGCCACGGCUAGCUAGGAG